rnacentral:rRNA from 1 species
GGAAGUAACGUCAAGGGUGUCCCGCCUACCGGGACCGUCCGGCCGCGCUGUCAUCGACGGAGCAGACGCAUUUGUCUCUCGUCCGAAGGACGCUGCAGCCGGCGGGGAAGUUUUCUCUUGCAAACGUGACGGCCUGAAGGUCGGGAGCGUCGGCAGUUGACCGGCGGCGCGCACUCAGCGCGUCUGCCGGUUGUUAGCCGUCCCGUCAGUGAGCUCGUCUCCCCGCCGUGGUUCAACGCACGGCUCCCCCCUCAGGGGAGUCCGCCUCCGUCUCUCCUCCAGAAGCAUGCGUGCGAGACCGUCGCUGGUUCAGGCCGCCGACCUGUCGCACUCCGCAGCGAGUGGACGGUCGUCGAAGUUCGGCGCCGCAGGCGAUGGCGAGGCACGCCGGAGACCGGGGGCUCGCAGCGAGUAGGUCGGUCACCCACCCGACCCGUCUUGAAACACGGACCAAGGAGUCUAACAUGUGCGCGAGUCAAUGGGUCUUGAACAGGCCCAGGGGCGCAAUGAAAGCAAAGACCCGCCGAGCGCGGGUCGAGUCGGGAUCCCCGUCCCCAAGCGGUCGGGGCGCACCGACGACCCGUCCCGUCCGGCUCGCCGGUGGGGCGGAGUGUGAGCGCACACGUUGGGACCCGAAAGAUGGUGAACUAUGCCCGGACAGGACGAGGCCAGAGGAAACUUGGUGGANG